rnacentral:misc_RNA from 1 species
GAUGAAGAACGUAGCGAAAUGCGAAAAGUAAUGUGAAUUGCAGAAUUCAGUGAACCAUCGAAUCUUUGAACGCACAUUGCGCCCGCUGGAACUCCGGCGGGCACGCCUGUCCGAGCGUCAUUUCAACCCUCAGGCCCCCCUUCGCGGGCGGGCCUGGUGUUGGGGCCCGGCCGCUACCCUGCGGCCGUCCCCUAAAUUCAGUGGCGGCCUCGCCGUGAUCCCUUGCGUAGUAAUGCACCUCGCACCGGAGAGCGCCGUGGCCACGCCGUAAAACCCCCAAUUUUCAAUGGUUGACCUCGGAUCAGGUGGGAAUACCCGCUGAACUUAAGCAUAUCAAUAAGCGGAGGA